GAGAUCUACCCCACAAAGCUCUUUGGACCAUCUAAUGUGACUGAAGGGACCACAAUACAUUUCAAGUGUCAAACUAAUAACAUCACUAUAAGCGGGGACAUGGUUCAUUUUUACCUUUGUAAGGAUGGAGUUGGGAUACAAAUGACACCUCUAAAGAAAGAUGCUGAAUCUGUUUUCUUGCUGAAAGAAGUUAAAAAACAAGACUCGGGCAAGUACAGCUGUGUGUACAGCAAAUGUAAACUCCCAGCCAGUCAAGUGAAGUCAACAGGGGAUUAUCUGGUUUUACGGGUCAAUGGAUAUGAAGAUGUGAAAGAGGCUGCGAAUGAUGUGCUACUGAUCAAUUUAAUCCGAAUAAUGAGUUCCGCUGUUGUGGUCAUACUGCUUCUGAUUGUAGUGGUUGUCGGCUCCUGUUGUUCCAAAACAGACAGGAGAGCCAAGCAGCCAUUACCCAACGGAGAUCUAUGAGAACAUUGCAAGAACACGAACAAUGCUGUCAAAAAUGUCCGCUAGGUUACUCAUCAACGCUCACAUCUCAUCCCAUCUGGACUACUGCAAGGCCUUUUUUUUGGCACAUCUGCCUAUUGCCUAAAAAGGCUACAAUAUGUCCAGGACUGUGCUGAAUGUGACCUCACAUACAACUUCCUGCAUGAGGUCAUUCUUUUGUUCAACCUCCAGGAGAUCCACAUUGACUCACAUUUCCUUGUUCACACCAACCAGACUAUCCACAACUCUGAAAACUUUC
ensembl:lncRNA